AGCAGUGGGAGCACAGAGCAAUCUGUGUGACUGCGUACCUUUUGUAUAAUGGGUCAGCGACUUAUAUUCUGUAGCAAGGUUAACCGAAUAGGGGAGCCGAAGGGAAACCGAGUCUUAACUGGGCGUUAAGUUGCAGGGUAUAGACCCGAAACCCGGUGAUCUAGCCAUGGGCAGGUUGAAGGUUGGGUAACACUAACUGGAGGACCGAACCGACUAAUGUUGAAAAAUUAGCGGAUGACUUGUGGCUGGGGGUGAAAGGCCAAUCAAACCGGGAGAUAGCUGGUUCUCCCCGAAAGCUAUUUAGGUAGCGCCUCGUGAAUUCAUCUCCGGGGGUAGAGCACUGUUUCGGCAAGGGGGUCAUCCCGACUUACCAACCCGAUGCAAACUGCGAAUACCGGAGAAUGUUAUCACGGGAGACACACGGCGGGUGCUAACGUCCGUCGUGAAGAGGGAAACAACCCAGACCGCCAGCUAAGGUCCCAAAGUCAUGGUUAAGUGGGAAACGAUGUGGGAAGGCCCAGACAGCCAGGAUGUUGGCUUAGAAGCAGCCAUCAUUUAAAGAAAGCGUAAUAGCUCACUGGUCGAGUCGGCCUGCGCGGAAGAUGUAACGGGGCUAAACCAUGCACCGAAGCUGCGGCAGCGACGCUGAUGCGUUGUUGGGUAGGGGAGCGUUCUGUAAGCCUGUGAAGGUGUGCUGUGAGGCAUGCUGGAGGUAUCAGAAGUGCGAAUGCUGACAUAAGUAACGAUAAAGCGGGUGAAAAGCCCGCUCGCCGGAAGACCAAGGGUUCCUGUCCAACGUUAAUCGGGGCAGGGUGAGUCGACCCCUAAGGCGAGGCCGAAAGGCGUAGUCGAUGGGAAACAGGUUAAUAUUCCUGUACUUGGUGUUACUGCGAAGGGGGGACGGAGAAGGCUAUGUUGGCCGGGCGACGGUUGUCCCGGUUUAAGCGUGUAGGCUGGUUUUCCAGGCAAAUCCGGAAAACUAAGGCUGAGGCGUGAUGACGAGGCACUACGGUGCUGAAGCAACAAAUGCCCUGCUUCCAGGAAAAGCCUCUAAGCAUCAGGUAACAUCAAAUCGUACCCCAAACCGACACAGGUGGUCAGGUAGAGAAUACCAAGGCGCUUGAGAGAACUCGGGUGAAGGAACUAGGCAAAAUGGUGCCGUAACUUCGGGAGAAGGCACGCUGAUAUGUAGGUGAAGUCCCUCGCGGAUGGAGCUGAAAUCAGUCGAAGAUACCAGCUGGCUGCAACUGUUUAUUAAAAACACAGCACUGUGCAAACACGAAAGUGGACGUAUACGGUGUGACGCCUGCCCGGUGCCGGAAGGUUAAUUGAUGGGGUCAGCGCAAGCGAAGCUCUUGAUCGAAGCCCCGGUAAACGGCGGCCGUAACUAUAACGGUCCUAAGGUAGCGAAAUUCCUUGUCGGGUAAGUUCCGACCUGCACGAAUGGCGUAAUGAUGGCCAGGCUGUCUCCACCCGAGACUCAGUGAAAUUGAACUCGCUGUGAAGAUGCAGUGUACCCGCGGCAAGACGGAAAGACCCCGUGAACCUUUACUAUAGCUUGACACUGAACAUUGAGCCUUGAUGUGUAGGAUAGGUGGGAGGCUUUGAAGUGUGGACGCCAGUCUGCAUGGAGCCGACCUUGAAAUACCACCCUUUAAUGUUUGAUGUUCUAACGUUGACCCGUAAUCCGGGUUGCGGACAGUGUCUGGUGGGUAGUUUGACUGGGGCGGUCUCCUCCUAAAGAGUAACGGAGGAGCACGAAGGUUGGCUAAUCCUGGUCGGACAUCAGGAGGUUAGUGCAAUGGCAUAAGCCAGCUUGACUGCGAGCGUGACGGCGCGAGCAGGUGCGAAAGCAGGUCAUAGUGAUCCGGUGGUUCUGAAUGGAAGGGCCAUCGCUCAACGGAUAAAAGGUACUCCGGGGAUAACAGGCUGAUACCGCCCAAGAGUUCAUAUCGACGGCGGUGUUUGGCACCUCGAUGUCGGCUCAUCACAUCCUGGGGCUGAAGUAGGUCCCAAGGGUAUGGCUGUUCGCCAUUUAAAGUGGUACGCGAGCUGGGUUUAGAACGUCGUGAGACAGUUCGGUCCCUAUCUGCCGUGGGCGCUGGAGAACUGAGGGGGGCUGCUCCUAGUACGAGAGGACCGGAGUGGACGCAUCACUGGUGUUCGGGUUGUCAUGCCAAUGGCACUGCCCGGUAGCUAAAUGCGGAAGAGAUAAGUGCUGAAAGCAUCUAAGCACGAAACUUGCCCCGAGAUGAGUUCUCCCUGACUCCUUGAGAGUCCUGAAGGAACGUUGAAG
rnacentral:rRNA from 1 species